UACGGGGGGGGCAAGCGUUGUUCGGAAUUACUGGGCGUAAAGGGCCAGUAGGCGGCCAACUAAGUCCGACGUGAAAUCCCAAGGCUUAACCUUGGAACUGCGUCGGAUACUGGAUGGCUUGAAUUCGGGAGAGGGAUGCAGAAUUCCAGGUGUAGCGGUGAAAUGCGUAGAUAUCUGGAGGAAUACCGGUGGCGAAGGCGGCAUCCUGGACAGUGACUGACGCUGAGACG
rnacentral:rRNA from 1 species